rnacentral:rRNA from 1 species
CCGCGGCUGAUUAGCUAGUUGGUAGGGUAAAGGCCUACCAAGGCUGUGAUCGGUAGCCGGCCUGAGAGGGCACACGGCCACACUGGCACUGAAACACGGGCCAGACUCCUACGGGAGGCAGCAGUGGGGAAUCUUGCACAAUGGACGAAAGUCUGAUGCAGCGACGCCGCGUGAGCGAUGAAGCCCUUCGGGGUGUAAAGCUCUUUCGACAGGAACGAUAAUGACGGUACCUGGAGAAGAAGCUGCGGCUAACUACGUGCCAGCAGCCGCGGUAAUACGUAGGCAGCAAGCGUUGUUCGGAAUUACUGGGCGUAAAGCGUGCGUAGGCGGUGGCUCAAGUUUGGUGUGAAAUCUCCCGGCUCAACUGGGAGGGUGCGCCGAAAACUGAGUUGCUCGAGUGUGGGAGAGGUAGGCGGAAUUCCUGGUGUAGCGGUGAAAUGCGUAGAUAUCAGGAGGAACACCGGCGGUGUAGACGGCUUACUGGACCAUAACUGACGCUGAGGCACGAAAGUGUGGGGAGCAAACAGGAUUAGAUACCCUGGUAGUCCACACCCUAAACGAUGCAUACUUGGUGUGAGCCAUUCAUUUUGGUUCGUGCCGGAGCUAACGCGUUAAGUAUGCCGCCUGGGGAGUACGGUCGCAAGGCUGAAACUCAAAAGGAAAUUGACGGG